AAUCCUGUGGUGUAGUUCAUGUCGGAUUGCAAAUCCGAAGACGUAGAUUAAUACUCUGCCGGGGUUU
rnacentral:tRNA from 1 species